CAAAUACUGCUAUGACUUGACUUGAUAAGCUUUGCAUGGGGUAGGAGGCUAAUAAUUGUUCCCAAAUGCCAAGUCAUCAACAAUGGGAGUUCCCUCAACUUCCCUGAGAAGGAGAACAAGAGGGACAGUUCCAGUGAGGGGGAAGAGCCAUGUUCAAGCUAUGGUGACAAGGAAACUAAAGAAGCUCAAGAAGAUCAUCCCAGGGUGCCAAGAAGUUGAAUUAGAAGAACUGCUUCAGAGAACAGCCGAGUAUAUUGCCUUCCUGGAGCUGCAAGUAAUUAUUCUGAGGAGAAUAUCAAACCUUCAGGGUGAUUCAGGCUAUAGUUUCUCUAAAGGCUAAUCCAGGCUAUAUGGUUAAGAAAUAGAAAGUAAGUUUUAUUUUCUGUUGUAAUUCCUGCUAGCAACUCUACUAAGAUAUUUGGCAAGAUUAUCUCAUAAUAUAUCCAUUUCCUCUGUCA